UACAGAGGGGGCGAAGCGUUGUUUCGGAAUUACUGGGCGUAAAGGCGCGUAGGCGGCCUGUUAAGUCGAACGUGAAAUCCCCGGGCUCAACCCGGGAACUGCGUCCGAUACUGGUAGGCUUGAAUCCGGGAGAGGGAUGCGGAAUUCCAGGUGUAGCGGUGAAAUGCGUAGAUAUCUGGAGGAACACCGGUGGCGAAGGCGGCAUCCUGGACCGGCAUUGACGCUGAGGCGCGAAAGCCAGGGGAGCAAACGGG
rnacentral:rRNA from 1 species